UUACAUUAGGUCAACAUUGGUGGUUUGAAUUCAACUAGUCUUAUUGGUUUGAGAAUUAGUCCAUUAGUCUGUUUGAUUGGGAUUCAAGGUCACAUAUCACAAUUCAUAUUUCAUUUCAAGGAUGGCAUUCAAGUUUUUAAAUUCAAGGAUUUUCAAAUCUUGGAGGGAAAUUCAUUUUUCUUAAGAAUCAAACCAUUAUAUCUUCAACAUAUAAAUC
rnacentral:lncRNA from 1 species